AGUACAUGUUCCCUCUUUAGCUGGAGGAGAGAAACAUAGCAGGUCAUCUUACUCCUAAUGAAGCUAAUACACCAGGCUGCGCAGCAAAAAGCAGAGGGAGCAGUGGCCAUGCCAACAUGUCAGGAAGAGGGGCCCUUUGGCUUCUUCCACACUGGGUCAAGUCCAAUAUUGAGGCUGCAGGAAGGCCAGAAUCCAUGACAGAGGAAGUUGGAAAUCAUGAGGGCAAGACAGUGAGGCGGUGCAGUAAGACUGCAUAGAAGAGAUGGAGAAAAGAAUGAAG